GCCCCCAUCGUCUAGCGGCCCAGGACACCGCCCUCUCACGGCGGCGACACCGGUUCAAAUCCGGUUGGGGGUGCCA
rnacentral:tRNA from 2 species